GGAUUAGGGAUGCAGAACCAGUGUAGUCUGUUCAAAUAUCCAAAAUCUGAAGCCAUUAUGGUCUUACCUAUUUGAAAAAGGGACGCACACCCUUUAGUAACUGUUUUAGUCAGCCAUUUUCGCUGCUGUGACUAAAGCAUCUGACCAGAACAAUUUUAGGGAAGAAAAGUUUAUUUGAGUGCUCACGGUUUCAGAGGUCUUACUCCCUGGAAGGUCUGCUCUGUUCCUCAGGGCUUGAGGGCGGCUGAACUCAUGGCGGAAGAGGGUGGCCGAGGGAAGCAGCUCACAUCAUGGUGAUCCGGAAGCAGAGAGACUCCACUUUCCAGAUACAAUAUGUACCCCAAAGCCCCGAUUCCCACCUCCUCCAGCCACACCCUGUCACUUCAGUUACCACUCAGUUAAUCCCUAUCAGGGGAUUAAAUCACUGAUUGUGUUAAGACUCUCACAACACAAGGGAUCAUUUCUCCUCUAACCUUCUUGCACUGCCUCACCUGUGCGCUUUUGGGGGACAGCUCACAUCCAAACCAUAACAAGUAACCUUAUGAUGUCAGGAAAG
rnacentral:lncRNA from 1 species